GAUGAACGCUGGCGGCGUGCCUAAUACAUGCAAGUCGAGCGAACGGACGAGAAGCUUGCUUCUCUGAUGUUAGCGGCGGACGGGUGAGUAACACGUGGAUAACCUACCUAUAAGACUGGGAUAACUUCGGGAAACCGGAGCUAAUACCGGAUAAUAUUUUGAACCGCAUGGUUCAAAAGUGAAAGACGGUCUUGCUGUCACUUAUAGAUGGAUCCGCGCUGCAUUAGCUAGUUGGUAAGGUAACGGCUUACCAAGGCAACGAUGCAUAGCCGACCUGAGAAGGUGAUCGGCCACACUGGAACUGAGACACGGUCCAGACUCCUACGGGAGGCAGCAGUAGGGAAUCUUCCGCAAUGGGCGAAAGCCUGACGGAGCAACGCCGCGUGAGUGAUGAAGGUCUUCGGAUCGUAAAACUCUGUUAUUAGGGAAGAACAUAUGUGUAAGUAACUGUGCACAUCUUGACGGUACCUAAUCAGAAAGCUACGGCUAACUACGUG
rnacentral:rRNA from 1 species